GCCGGAAUUGGGGGAGUAUUCCUGUAAUUCAAUUACCCGGAGACUAGGUGUAGAGUAUGUUUUAGAAAUGGGGGUUCUGGGAUUGGAUUUCUCACGUUGACUAUACGUCCGCUAAGGGUAAACCUUUGACUUGGAUGCCUUGAGGAAAAAAUUGGCCCAAAACUCACCGAGAGUCGUGAGUUCAAAUCCAGGGAAUGGGAGUUUAAUUUCAGCUAGUUCAACACAAGAACAGACCUAGCACCCUU
rnacentral:SRP_RNA from 1 species